AACGCUGGCGGCGUGCCUAAUACAUGCAAGUCGAACGGUCUUUCUAUGGAAGCUUGCUUCCACUGAGAAGAUAGUGGCGAACGGGUGAGUAACACGUGGGUAACCUGCCCAUAAGAGGGGGAUAACAUCCGGAAACGGGUGCUAAUACCGCAUAGUUUUCUUGAUCGCAUGAUCGGGAAAGGAAAGACGGCCUUUGUGCUGUCGCUUAUGGAUGGACCCGCGGCGUAUUAGUUAGUUGGUGAGGUAACGGCUCACCAAGACGAUGAUACGUAGCCGACCUGAGAGGGUGAUCGGCCACAUUGGGACUGAGACACGGCCCAAACUCCUACGGGAGGCAGCAGUAGGGAAUCUUCCGCAAUGGACGAAAGUCUGACGGAGCAACGCCGCGUGAGUGAAGAAAGGUUUUCGGAUCGUAAAACUCUGUUGUCAGAGAAGAACAAGUUGGAGAGUAACUGCUCCAGCCUUGACGGUAUCUGACCAGAAAGCCACGGCUAACUACGUGCCAGCCGCUGC
rnacentral:rRNA from 1 species